rnacentral:lncRNA from 1 species
UAGCUCACUAAUAAACACGUACCCUUUAAAGUGUUCUGAAUAUCUUAUAAAGAUAAAUUUCUUUCCUCUUAGAUCCAAUUUAUCAUAUUUGUGAGAGGGAUCGUGAGCAUAGGCAGCAGACCCCCAGGGUCGUAAGUUAUUUAGGUCAGAUUUUUUAUCUAUCUAUAAUGCAUAAGGUGUGGAAGGGAUUGAUUUGGAGGGCA